GUGAGAAAGAGGAGGAAGAAGAGGGAAAGAAGAUUAGGGUUUUUAAGGUAGGAGGAGGAGAUCAGAUUAGAACCGACGAUGGAGAUCCAAGUCCGCAAUCUAAACCAUCAAUAGUCCGAGGCAAGGUGCUCUCAUGAAUCGCACCUUCCUAUUUCGUCAAAACGUCCAAGAACUUCAGAUUCUUACCCUCAAUAGCAUUAUCUGGUUAAGUUCCAGAGUGAAGGCAGUCAAGAUUGGCAUUCGAAUUGGAGUUUCAAGAAAAACGUGAUUUUUGGAGAGAGGGAGGAGACACCGCCACGUGUCGGCCAGCGUACGGAGGAGUGCGGCAGAACCGCUGAUCGAUACGUGGCGAUCACCGACUGGUGAGGCGCGUCCUCACCCGGUAGCGAACACGCGUCAGGCAUGCGUAUCCGGGCCGGCCCGACUCGGCGCCGCACGCGAACCACUAUAUCCGUAAACCACCCCAACUCGACGCCUCUGACUCACGACUGCUCGGGAAGCCGCGCGGGGGCACGCACUCAUAGGAGCUGCACGUAGAAACCCUCCAGGGCGCGUGUAGGCGUGACUUGUCAAAAAAAUUACAAAAUUUUUGGAAUCCUUUCCGUCAAGAAAACUCAAACUCGAGAAGGCAUGGGUCAACCAAGUGAGUGAUGCCAUGGUUCGAGGCGGGAAUGCGUGCUGAAUCUUAAUGCCACGAGUGUCCCGGGGCGUCUAGGAGUCUGUGCAUAUUUUUUGUUUAGAUUUGUCAUGCGUUGUUUUGUAAACCAUUUACAUACUUUUCAUUGAACUCAUAUGCUAUUGGAACACCUUGAUUUGGAUUUCAAACUUUCUAUCUAAUCGCUAAAGUUUUUUUGUAA